rnacentral:rRNA from 1 species
GAUGAUCCGGUGCUUGCACCGGGGAUUAGUGGCGAACGGGUGAGUAACACGUGAGUAACCUGCCCUUAACUCUGGGAUAAGCCUGGGAAACUGGGUCUAAUACCGGAUAUGACUCCUCAUCGCAUGGUGGGGGGUGGAAAGCUUUUUGUGGUUUUGGAUGGACUCGCGGCCUAUCAGCUUGUUGGUGAGGUAAUGGCUCACCAAGGCGACGACGGGUAGCCGGCCUGAGAGGGUGACCGGCCACACUGGGACUGAGACACGGCCCAGACUCCUACGGGAGGCAGCAGUGGGGAAUAUUGCACAAUGGGCGCAAGCCUGAUGCAGCGACGCCGCGUGAGGGAUGACGGCCUUCGGGUUGUAAACCUCUUUCAGUAGGGAAGAAGCGAAAGUGACGGUACCUGCAGAAGAAGCGCCGGCUAACUACGUGCCAGCAGCCGCGGUAAUACGUAGGGCGCAAGCGUUAUCCGGAAUUAUUGGGCGUAAAGAGCUCGUAGGCGGUUUGUCGCGUCUGCCGUGAAAGUCCGGGGCUCAACUCCGGAUCUGCGGUGGGUACGGGCAGACUAGAGUGAUGUAGGGGAGACUGGAAUUCCUGGUGUAGCGGUGAAAUGCGCAGAUAUCAGGAGGAACACCGAUGGCGAAGGCAGGUCUCUGGGCAUUAACUGACGCUGAGGAGCGAAAGCAUGGGGAGCGAACAGGAUUAGAUACCCUGGUAGUCCAUGCCGUAAACGUUGGGCACUAGGUGUGGGGGACAUUCCACGUUUUCCGCGCCGUAGCUAACGCAUUAAGUGCCCCGCCUGGGGAGUACGGCCGCAAGGCUAAAACUCAAAGGAAUUGACGGGGGCCCGCACAAGCGGCGGAGCAUGCGGAUUAAUUCGAUGCAACGCGAAGAACCUUACCAAGGCUUGACAUGGGCCGGACCGGGCUGGAAACAGUCCUUCCCCUUUGGGGCCGGUUCACAGGUGGUGCAUGGUUGUCGUCAGCUCGUGUCGUGAGAUGUUGGGUUAAGUCCCGCAACGAGCGCAACCCUCGUUCCAUGUUGCCAGCGCGUAAUGGCGGGGACUCAUGGGAGACUGCCGGGGUCAACUCGGAGGAAGGUGGGGACGACGUCAAAUCAUCAUGCCCCUUAUGUCUUGGGCUUCACGCAUGCNACAAAUGGCCGGGUACAAAGGGUUGCGAUACUGUGAGGUGGAGCUAAUCCCAAAAAGCCGGUUCUCAGUUCGGGAUUGGGGGUCUGCAACUC